CGGGGGGGCAAGCGUUGUUCGGAAUUACUGGGCGUAAAGGGCUCGUAGGUGGCCAACUAAGUCAGACGUGAAAUCCCUCGGCUUAACCGGGGAACUGCGUCUGAUACUGGAUGGCUUGAGGUUGGGAGAGGGAUGCGGAAUUCCAGGUGUAGCGGUGAAAUGCGUAGAUAUCUGGAGGAACACCGGUGGCGAAGGCGGCAUCCUGGACCAAUUCUGACGCUGAGGAGCGAAAGCCAGGGGAGCAAACGGGAUUAGAUACCCCGGUAGUCCUGGCCCUAAACGAUGAAUGCUUGGUGUGGCGGGUAUCGAUCCCUGCCGUGCCGAAGCUAACGCAUUAAGCAUUCCGCCUGGGGAGUACGGUCGCAAGGCUG
rnacentral:rRNA from 1 species